UGGAGGGAAGGGAAUUAAGAGCAAGAAGACCACGUCAGGUUGCUGCCUUGGCCGGCAGGAAACAAGAGUGUGUAAAGAAAGCUGCUGACUCCUUAAGAGAGCUUUGCUUAUGAAGCUGAACUCAAAACUCACUGAGGCACUAACAGAAACACCAAUUAUGCCAUGACAAGGUGACCACUGGUAACUCACUGAGACACUAACAGAAACACCAAUUAUGCCAUGACAAGGUGACCACUGGUAACUCAUUGAGACACUAACAGAAACACCAAUUAUGCCAUGACAAGGUGACCACUGGUAACUCACUGAGACACUAACAGAAACACCAAUUAUGCCAUGACAAGGUGACCACUGGUAACUCACUGAGACACUAACAGAAACACCAAUUAUGCCAUGACAAGGUGACCACUGGUAACUCACUGAGACACUAACAGAAACACCAAUUAUGUCAUGACAAGGUGACCACUGGUAACUCACUGAGGCACUAACAGAAACACCAAUUAUGCCAUGACAAG